CCUCCCUGACAAUGGGCAGAUAGACACUUUGUUGGUGGUGUUGUUCUUCUAUCAGUCAGGGGCAGAACAGGUGGCAGUCCUUCGUUCAUCCUACCUUGAUGCCUGACUUGAUGACCAAAGCUGUUUUAUGACUAGGCCUCAUAA
ensembl:snoRNA LOC120101265 small nucleolar RNA SNORA48